AUGCAUCACAACAUGCAGAGCUAGCAUAGCUAGCUAGCCUACUAGGAGGGUUGACAAUGGCGGGCGCCUCCGUGACAAGAGCACGAUCUCUGCUGCUGCUAGUGGUCGUCGUAGUACUAGUUGUCUCAUCUGCAAGUUCUUCCGAAGAAGCUCAAGCACCGUCAGAUUUCGCCGGGGGUACGCGGAAGCUUCUGAACCGUGCCGCACCUCCGCCACCGGCACCGGCGUCACGCACUCCGGUUGGCGCCUCCACCACCUUGCCGCCACCGCCAGCAGUAGCAGUAUGAUGCGAAUGUGUUUGUGUACGUGGCUUAUUGUUAUUGGAAUAAGGUUGUGUACAGAAAUAUAGGGACUUCAAGAGUUUUCUGGACCUAUAUGAUAAAAUCUUUUUAAUAUAAUAUCAUGAGAAUGAUCACUAA